rnacentral:rRNA from 1 species
GAUGAACGCUGGCGGCGUGCCUAAUACAUGCAAGUCGAGCGAACAGACGAUGAGCUUGCUCCUCUGACGUUAGCGGCGGACGGGUGAGUAACACGUGGAUAACCUACCUAUAUUACUGGGAUAACUUCGUGAAACCGGAUCUAAUACCGGAUAAUAUAUUGAACCGCAUGGUUCAAUAGUGAAUGACGGUUUUGCUGUCACUUAUAGAUGUAUCCGCGCCGCAUUAGCUAGUUGGUAAGGUAACGCCUUACCAAGGCAACGAUGCGUAGCCGACCUGAGAGGGUGAUCGGACACACUGGAACUGAGACACGGUCCAGACUCCUACGGGAGGCAGCAGAAGGGAAACUUCCGCAAUGGGCGAAAGCGUGACGGAGAAACGCAGCGUGAGUGAGGAAGGUCUUCGGAUCGUAAAACUCUGUUAUGAGGGAAGAAAAAAUGUGUAAGUAAAUAUGCACGUCUUGACGGUACAUAAUCAGAAAGAGAAGGCUAACUACGUG